GCAGCGUCAGAUGUGUAUAAGAGACAGGGUUGAAGCGCAGGUAAAAUUGCGUGGAGGACCGAACCUGUGAGCGUUGAAAAGCUUUAGGAUGAGAUGUGGGUAGAGGUGAAAUUCCAAUCGAACGCGGAGAUAGCUGGUUCUCCCCGAAAUAGCUUUAGGGCUAGCCUCAAGUAGUAAGUAUAGGCGGUAGAGCACUGAUCGGGCUAGGGGCCAUAAAGGUUACCGAACCCUGUCAAACUCCGAAUGGUUAUACUGUAGAGCUUGGGAGUCAGACUACGAGUGAUAAGAUCCGUGGUCAAAAGGGAAACAGCCCAGACCACCAGCUAAGGUCCCCAAUGUCGUACUAAGUGGAAAAGGAUGUGGGGUCUCUAAAACAACCAGGAUGUUGGCUUAGAAGCAGCCACCAUUUAAAGAGUGCGUAAUAGCUCACUGGUCGAGAGACCCUGCGCCGAAGAUUACCGGGGCUAAAGUACGAAACCGAAGCUGUGGCUACGACACAUGUCGUGGGGUAGGGGAGCGUUCUGUGAGGGCUGAAGUCGUUCUGUAAGGAACGGUGGACUUCACAGAAGUGAGAAUGUUGGUAUGAGUAGCGAAAAGAAUGGUGAGAAUCCAUUCCACCGAAAGCAUAAGGAUUCCUGGGCAACGAUCGUCGUCCCAGGGUAAGUCGGGACCUAAUCCGAGGCAUGGAGCGUAGGAGAUGGACAACUGGCAGAUAUUCCAGUACCGGUAAUGAUUGUUUGAGCGAUGGAGUGACACAGGAGGGCAGGCAGGCAGGAGAUUGGUUGUUCCUGUACAAGCGUGUAGGAUGGGAUGCAGGCAAAUCCGCGUCCUGUGAGUCUGAGGCGUGAUGUGGAGGUUCCGGAAACGGAACUGAAGCUGCUGACCCCACACUGUCGAGAAAAGCUUCUAGUUAGAGAAUUACCGCCCGUACCGUAAACCGACACAGGUAUGCGGGGAGAGAAUCCUAAGGUGCGCGGGAGAACCCUCGUUAAGGAACUCGGCAAAAUGUACCCGUAACUUCGGGAUAAGGGUAGCCGCUGUUGUGAAGUCUGAACAGACGGAGCAUGAGGCGGUCGCAGAGAAGAGGCCCAAGCGACUGUUUACCACAAACACAGGUGCCUGCUAAAGAGAAAUCUGACGUAUAGGUGCUGACACCUGCCCAGUGCCGGAAGGUUAAGGAAGGAUGUCCGGAGCAAUCCAAAGCAUUCGACCGAAGCCCCGGUGAACGGCGGCCGUAACUAUAACGGUCCUAAGGUAGCGAAAUUCCUUGUCGGGUAAG
rnacentral:rRNA from 1 species